rnacentral:rRNA from 1 species
AGCAGCCGCGGUAAUUCCAGCUCCAAUAGCAUAUAUUAAAGUUGUUGCAGUUAAAAAGCUCGUAGUUGAAUUUCGGGAUCAUUAGGUUGGUCGUGCCUCUGGUAUGUACUGAUCUCGAUGGUUCCUACUUCUUGAAGAACCGUAAUGCCAUUAAUUUGGUGUUGCGGGGGAACAGGACUGUUACUUUGAAAAAUUAGAGUGUUUAAAGCAGGCAAUCGCUUGAAUACAUUAGCAUGGAAUAAUGAAAUAGGACGUUCGAUCCUAUUUUGUUGGUUUCUAGGAUUGGCGUAAUGAUUAAUAGGGAUAGUUGGGGGCAUUAGUAUUCAAUUGUCAGAGGUGAAAUUCUUGGAUUUAUUGAAGACUAACUACUGCGAAAGCAUUUGUCAAGGAUGUUUUCAUUAAUCAAGAACGAAAGUUAGGGGAUCGAAGACGAUCAGAUACCGUCGUAGUCUUAACCAUAAACUAUGCCGACUAGGGAUCGGAUGGUGUUAAUUUUUUAAUGACU